GACUGAGUACGGCCCAGACUCCUACGGGAGGCAGCAGUAGGGAAUCUUCCGCAAUGGACGAAAGUCUGACGGAGCAACGCCGCGUGAGUGAUGAAGGCUUUCGGGUCGUAAAACUCUGUUGUUAGGGAAGAACAAGUACAAGAGUAACUGCUUGUACCUUGACCGUACCUAACCAGAAAGCCACGGCUAACUACGUGCCAGCAGCCGCGGUAAUACGUAGGUGGCAAGCGUUAUCCGGAAUUAUUGGGCGUAAAGCGCGCGCAGGCGGUUUCUUAAGUCUGAUGUGAAAGCCCACGGCUCAACCGUGGAGGGUCAUUGGGAACUGGGGAACUUGAGUGCAGAAGAGAAAAGCGGAAUUCCACGUGUAGCGGUGAAAUGCGUAGAGAUGUGGAGGAACACCAGUGGCGAAGGCGGCUUCUUGGUCUGUAACUGACGCUGAGGCGCGA
rnacentral:rRNA from 1 species